GACGAACGCUGGCGGCGUGCUUAACACAUGCAAGUCGAGCGGUAAGGCCCUUCGGGUACACGAGCGGCGAACGGGUGAGUAACACGUGGGUGACCUGCCUUUAGCUCUGGGAUAAGCCUGGGAAACUGGGUCUAAUACCGGAUAUGACCUCAUGACGCAUGUUGGUGGGGUGGAAAGCCUUGUGCGGCUAGAGAUGGGCCCGCGGCCUAUCAGCUUGUUGGUGGGGUGAGGCCUACCAAGGCGACGACGGGUAGCCGGCCUGAGAGGGCGACCGGCCACACUGGGACUGAGACACGGCCCAGACUCCUACGGGAGGCAGCAGUGGGGAAUCUUGCGCAAUGGGCGAAAGCCUGACGCAGCGACG
rnacentral:rRNA from 1 species